GAUCGGCCACACUGGAACUGAGACACGGUCCAGACUCCUACGGGAGGCAGCAGUAGGGAAUCUUCCGCAAUGGGCGAAAGCCUGACGGAGCAACGCCGCGUGAGUGAUGAAGGUCUUAGGAUCGUAAAACUCUGUUGUUAGGGAAGAACAAAUUUGUUAGUAACUGAGCAAGUCUUGACGGUACCUAACCAGAAAGCCACGGCUAACUACGUGCCAGCAGCCGCGGUAAUACGUAGGUGGCAAGCGUUAUCCGGAAUUAUUGGGCGUAAAGCGCGCGUAGGCGGUUUCUUAAGUCUGAUGUGAAAGCCCACGGCUCAACCGUGGAGGGUCAUUGGAAACUGGGGAACUUGAGUGCAGAAGAGGAGAGUGGAAUUCCAUGUGUAGCGGUGAAAUGCGCAGAGAUAUGGAGGAACACCAGUGGCGAAGGCGGCUCUCUGGUCUGUAACUGACGCUGAUGUGCGAAAGCGUGGGGAUCAAACAGGAUUAGAUACCCUGGUAGUCCACGCCGUAAACGAUGAGUGCUAAGUGUUAGGGGGUUUCCGCCCCUUAGUGCUGCAGCUAACGCA
rnacentral:rRNA from 1 species